GAUGAACGCUAGCGGCAGGCUUAAUACAUGCAAGUCGAGGGGUAGCAAGAUUGUAGCAAUACAAUUGUUGACGACCGGCAAACGGGUGCGGAACACGUACACAACCUUCCUACAAGUGGGGAAUAGCCCAGAGAAAUUUGGAUUAAUACCCCGUAACAUAGCGAUGUGGCAUCACAUUGCUAUUAUAGCUUCGGCGCUUGUUGAUGGGUGUGCGGCUGAUUAGAUAGUUGGCGGGGUAACGGCCCACCAAGUCUACGAUCAGUAGCUGAUGUGAGAGCAUGAUCAGCCACACGGGCACUGAGACACGGGCCCGACUCCUACGGGAGGCAGCAGUAAGGAAUAUUGGACAAUGGACGCAAGUCUGAUCCAGCCAUGCCGCGUGAAGGAUUAAGGUCCUCUGGAUUGUAAACUUCUUUUAUAAGGGACGAAAAAAGGUCUUUCUAGAUCGUCUGACGGUACCUUAUGAAUAAGCAACUACUAACUACGUGCCAGCCGCCGCAGUAAAAC
rnacentral:rRNA from 1 species